rnacentral:rRNA from 1 species
CCCUUAGAUGUCCUGGGCCGCACGCGCGCUACACUGAUGCAUUCAACGAGUGACCUUAGCCGAGAGGCCUGGGCAAUCUUUUGAACGUGCAUCGUGAUAGGGAUAGAUUAUUGCAAUUAUUAAUCUUGAACGAGGAAUUCCUAGUAAACGCAGAUCAUCAUUCUGCAUUGAUUACGUCCCUGCCCUUUGUACACACCGCCCGUCGCACCUACCGAUUGGAUGGUCCGGUGAAGCCUCGGGAUUGUGGUUCUUGCCGCUUUAUUGUGGCGUGACCGCGAGAACUUGUCUAAACCUUAUCAUCUAGAGGAAGGUGAAGUCGUAACA